rnacentral:rRNA from 1 species
GUUUGAUCCUGGCUCAGAAUGAACGUUGGCGGCGUGGAUUAGGCAUGCAAGUCGAACGGGUCCGGUUCGCCGGACCAGUGGCGCAAGGGUGAGUAGGACGACGGCAACCAACCCCGAGGUCGGGCAUAGCCGCGGGAAACCGCGGGUAAUUCCCGGCGACGCGACGACGUCGGCAUCGACGUUUCGCCAAAGGCUCCGGCCGCCUCGGGACGGGCCGUCGCGGUAUUAGGUUGUUGGCGGGGUAACGGCCCACCAAGCCCGCGAUGCCUACCGGGCGUGCGAGCGCGGCCCGGCACACUGGGACUGAGACACUGCCCAGACUCCUACGGGAGGCUGCAGUCGAGAAUCUUCGGCAAUGGGCGCAAGCCUGACCGAGCGACGCCGCGUGGAGGAUGAAGGCCCUCGGGUUGUAAACUCCUGUCGAGGGGGAGGAAGGGGCAACCUUGACCGUAUCCCUGGAGGAAGCGCGGGCUAAGUUCGUGCCAGCAGCCGCGGUAAGACGAACCGCGCGAACGUUAUUCGGAAUUACUGGGCUUAAAGCGCGUGUAGGCGGAUCGGCGCGUCGGCGACUGAAAGCCCCCGGCUCAACCCGGGGAAGUGGAGCCGAAACGGCCGAUCUCGAGGGAUGGAGGGGGACCUGGAACUUCCGGUGGAGCGGUGAAAUGCGUUGAGAUCGGAAGGAACGCCGGCGGCGAAAGCGAGGUCCUGGACGUCCACUGACGCUGAGACGCGAAAGCUGGGGGAGCGAACGGGAUUAGAUACCCCGGUAGUCCCAGCCGUAAACGAUGAGCACUGGGUUGGGGGCCCACCGACGGGCUCCCAGCCGAAGGGAAACCGUGAAGUGCUCCGCCUGGGGAGUAUGGCCGCAAGGCUGAAACUCAAAGGAAUUGACGGGGGCUCACACAAGCGGUGGAGCAUGUGGCUUAAUUCGAGGCUACGCGAAAAACCUUAUCCCGGGCUUGACAUGUGGGGAUUAGCCGGCGGAAACGUCGGUGACGCCGCAAGGUGGAACCCAUGCAGGUGCUGCAUGGCUGUCGUCAGCUCGUGCCGUGAGGUGUUGGGUUAAGUCCCGUAACGAGCGAAACCCCUGCGACCAGUUGCCAGCGCGUCAUGGCGGGGACUCUGGUCGGACCGCCGGCGUCAAGCCGGAGGAAGGCGGGGACGACGUCAAGUCAUCAUGGCCCUUAUGCCCGGGGCCGCACACGUGCUACAAUGGGGCGGACAAAGCGUCGCCAGGCCGCAAGGCCGAGCCAAUCGCAAAAACCGUCCCUCAGUUCGGAUUGCGGGCUGCAACCCGCCCGCAUGAAGCUGGAAUCGCUAGUAAUCGCGGAUCAGCAUUGCCGCGGUGAAUGUGUUCCUGAGCCUUGUACACACCGCCCGU